UAAGUCUUUUACUCCCGAUUU
rnacentral:piRNA from 1 species